rnacentral:rRNA from 1 species
AACGUAGGAGACAAACGUUAUCCGGAGUUACUGGGCGUAAAGGGCGUGUAGGUGGUUUCGUAAGUCUGGCGUGAAAUUUCUCGGCUUAACCGAGGCAGGUCGCGGAUACUGCGGAGCUAGAGGACGGUAGAGGCGUGUGGAAUUCCGGGUGUAGUGGUGAAAUGCGUAGAGAUCCGGAGGAACACCAGUGGCGAAGGCGACACGCUGGGCCGUACCUGACACUGAUGCGCGACAGCAUGGGGAGCAAACAGG